CCACUGCUGAGGAGUCCCACAAUAGGACGAAACGGUCCUCCAGUGC
rfam:Schistosoma mattheei strain Denwood, Zambia genome assembly, scaffold: SMTD_scaffold0005579